AGCCAUGCAAGUCUCAGUUCGACCCCUUACGUACGGGCAAACCGCGAAUGGCUCAUUAAAUCAGUCCGGGUUCCUUAGGCGACACGGCCCUCACGGGCAUAUCGGAUAACUGUGGCAAAUCCAGAGCUAAUACGUGCGCAUCGAGCCCCGACCCGGUUUCGGCCGGGGAAGGGCGCUUUUAUUAGUACAAGACCGGCGUCCGUGGCGAUUCGUUCGCGCGGACCCUCGUCAGGCGAACUCUGGAUAACCGGCCCGACCGCUCCGUCCCUCGUGGACGGCGGCGCGCCUUUCAAGCGUCUGCCCUAUCAAAUGUCGACGGUAGGUCAUACGCCAACCGUGUUGACGACGGGUAACGGGGAAUCGGGGUUCGGUUCCGGAGAGGGAGCACGAGAAACGGCUACCACAUCCAAGGAAGGCAGCAGGCGCGCAACUUACCCACUCCCAGCUCGGGGAGGUAGUGACRAGAAAUAACGAUGCGGGUCUCGAGUCGGGCCCCGCGGUCGGAAUGAGCGCAGUCCAAACCCGGCUUAAUUUGACUCAACACGGGAAAACUCACCCGGUCCGGACACCGCUAGGAUUGACAGACCGAGGCUCUUUCUUGAUUCGGUGGGUGGUGGUGCAUGGCCGUUCUUAGUUGGUGGAGCGAUCUGUCUGGUUAAUUCCGAUAACGAACGAGACUCCGGCCUGCUAGUUAGCGCGACGGCGUCCGGUGGCCGUCAGUCAUUCGUCGCCCGGCUUCGGUCGGUGCGGCGGUGGCCGGCCACCCGCCGUCGCGACCCCGAGGCUUCUUAGAGGGACGGGCGGUGGCCAGCCGCACGAGAAGGAGCGAUAACAGGUCUGUGAUGCCCUUAGACGUCCGGGGCCGCACGCGUGCUACACUGGGGGAGUCAAUGCGGACGUCUUCCCGGCCCGAAGGGCGUCGGGAAAGCCGCUGAGUCUCCCCCGUGCUCGGGAUCGGGGCUUGACCAUUGUGCCCCGUAAACGAGGAAUUCCCCGUAGGCGCCGGUCAUAACCCGGCGCCGAUUACGUCCCUGCCCUUUGUACACACCGCCCGUCGCUACCAUCGGUGAACGGUCUAGCGAGGGCCUCGGACCGGCGCGGCUUCCUUCCUUCAUCGGUCGGUUGCCUCGCCGGGAAGACGCCCGAACUCGGUCGCUCGGAGAUAGUAAAAGUCGUAACAAGGUUU
rnacentral:rRNA from 1 species